AGGACGACGCUGGCGGCGUGCUUAACACAUGCAAGUCGAGCGGAGAUUGAGAGCUUGCUCUCAUGAUCAGCGGCGGACGGGUGAGUAACACGUGAGCAACCUGCCUUUCAGAGGGGGACAACAGUUGGAAACGACUGCUAAUACCGCAUGAUGUGGAGGGGAGACAUCUCCCUUUCACCAAAGGAGCAAUCCGCUGUAAGAUGGCCUCGCGUCUGAUUAGAUAGUUGGUGGGGUAACGGCCUACCAAGUCGACGAUCAGUAGCCGGACUGAGAGGUUGAUCGGCCACAUUGGGACUGAGACACGGCCCAGACUCCUACGGGAGGCAGCAGUGGGGGAUAUUGCACAAUGGAGGAAACUCUGAUGCAGCAACGCCGCGUGAGGGAAGAAGGUUUUCGGAUUGUAAACCUCUGUUUUUAGUGAAGAAACAAAUGACGGUAGCUAAAGAGGAAGCCACGGCUAACUACGUG
rnacentral:rRNA from 1 species